AAGAGAUAUAGGUCAAGGAGAAAGCUUCUAACUUUCACCCUAUGCGGUUAAACUCCGUAAAUAUCUUA
rnacentral:tRNA from 1 species